AGUGUAUAUUAAUUAACCAAAUUAUGCUGCUUUUAGUUGACCAAUGCUACUACAUAGUAAUGUGAUGUUGAAGCCCACAAAUUUACAAACAUGCCCAGUGUCAACUUGUCAAAUAUAUGAAAUGGCCAGACAAUCUAGAUUACAAAAUUUUCUGAAAGUUGGAAUUACCAGUUUACACAUGGGCAGCCUGUAUUAAAACAUCAAAGAUUUUCAAAGCAACCAUGGCCUGGUGAGAUAUUUUUGAGGAAAUAUAAAUUUAAGGUCCUUAUGAUUGCUUAUAGGCAUUGAUUUUUAUUGUAAACAAUAUCUUACUGCGUGUAUUUUUCU